UACGGGGGGGGGCAAGCGUUGUUCGGAAUUACUGGGCGUAAAGGGCUCGUAGGCGGCCAACUAAGUCGGAUGUGAAAUCCCCAGGCUUAACCUGGGAACUGCAUCCGAUACUGGAUGGCUUGAAUCCGGGAGAGGGAUGCAGAAUUCCAGGUGUAGCGGUGAAAUGCGUAGAUAUCUGGAGGAAUACCGGUGGCGAAGGCGGCAUCCUGGACCGGCAUUGACGCUGAGGAGCGAAAGCCAGGGGAGCAAACAGG
rnacentral:rRNA from 1 species